CAUUCAUCCACCACUCCUCUACUGAACAUGACAUGUGACACCUGAUCACACAACAUUCAUUAACCACUCCUCUACUGAACAUGACAUGUGACACCACACAAUACAACAUUCAUUUACCACUCCUGUACUGAACAUGACAUAUGACACCUGAUUAUACAAUAUUCAGUCACCACUCCUGUACUGAACAUGACAUAUGACACCUGAAUAUACAAUAUUCAGUCACCACUCCUGUACUUAACAUGCUAUCGGACACUUGAUCAUGCAAUAUUCAGUCACCCCUCAUCUACUGAACAUGACAUGUGACACCACAUAAUACAACAUUCAUCUACCACUCCUGUACUGAACAUGACAUCUGAC
rnacentral:lncRNA from 1 species